GUGCCAGCAGCCGCGGUAAUACGGAGGAUUCAAGCGUUAUCCGGAUUUAUUGGGUUUAAAGGGUGCGUAGGCGGUUUGAUAAGUUAGAGGUGAAAUCCCGGGGCUUAACUCCGGAACUGCCUCUAAUACUGUUAGACUAGAGAGUAGUUGCGGUAGGCGGAAUGUAUGGUGUAGCGGUGAAAUGCUUAGAGAUCAUACAGAACACCGAUUGCGAAGGCAGCUUACCAAACUAUAUCUGACGUUGAGGCACGAAAGCGUGGGGAGCAAACAGGAUUAGAAACCCGAGUAGUCC
rnacentral:rRNA from 1 species